rnacentral:rRNA from 1 species
GACGAACGCUGGCGGCGUGCUUAACACAUGCGAGUCGAACGGAAAGGCCCUGCUUUUGUGGGGUGCUCGAGUGGCGAACGGGUGAGUAACACGUGAGUAACCUGCCCUUGACUUUGGGAUAACUUCAGGAAACUGGGGCUAAUACCGGAUAGGAGCUCCUGCUGCAUGGUGGGGGUUGGAAAGUUUCGGCGGUUGGGGAUGGACUCGCGGCUUAUCAGCUUGUUGGUGGGGUAGUGGCUUACCAAGGCUUUGACGGGUAGCCGGCCUGAGAGGGUGACCGGCGACAUUGGGACUGAGAUACGGCCCAGACUCCUACGGGAGGCAGCAGUGGGGAAUAUUGCACAAUGGGCGGAAGCCUGAUGCAGCAACGCCGCGUGCGGGAUGACGGCCUUCGGGUUGUAAACCGCUUUCGCCUGUGACGAAGCGUGAGUGACGGUAAUGGGUAAAGAAGCACCGGCUAACUACGCG